GCCUGGGAUAAGAAAAUCCUUAGUUUUUCGAAAAUUCAAAGUUUUGUAAACAGGAAAUUUAUAAAAAUGACCACAUUAUUGAUAUUCAUGUCAACACCGAAGUGUUGACUACUGGGCUGGUGAUACCCUCGGGACCGAAACGUCCACCAGCAGUGGCAUCGACCCAGUGGUGUAAAUAGUUAUCAAAGCUACCAGGAUUAUAAUUUAAUACGCCAGACGCGCGUUUCGUCUACACAAGAUUCAUCAGUGACGCUCUUAUCAAAAUAUUUAUAAAGCCAAACAAGUAAACAGUUGAAGAGCAUUGAGGAUCAAAAAUUCCAAAAAUUGUGCCAAAUACGGCUAAGGUAAUCUAUGCCUGGGAUAAGAAAAUCCUUAGUUUUUCGAAAAUUCAAAGUUUUGUAAACAGGAAAUUUAUAAAAAUGA
rnacentral:lncRNA from 1 species